rnacentral:lncRNA from 1 species
CCUUACAGCUUCCCUCGGCUAGGGGAGGGAGUACACCAACCCCUUGUGUUUCCUGGGUGAGGCAGUGCCCCACCCUGCUUCACCUCACCUUCCAUGGGCUGCACCCACUGUCUAACCAGUCCCAAUGAGACGAGCUGGGUAUCUCAGUUGGAAAUGCAGAAAUCACCCACCUCCUGCAUUGAUCUCGCUAGGAGCUGCAGACCAGAGCUGUUCCUACUCAGCCAUUUUGCUGAUGCCUGUCCUUGAGAGAAUUGCUUUCCAGUUUUUGUAGGUCAAGAAUUCAGGCACAGUUCAUCUAGGUGGGUCCUCUGCCUCAGAGUCUUCAUGAGACUGUUAUUACGGUGUCAGCCCAGGCUGCAGUCAUCUUAACAUUCAACUGAAGUAGCAUCCACUUCCAAUUUCACUCCAUGGUUGCUAGCAUGAUACAGUUUCUCACAAGCUACUGGACUGAGAACCUCACUUUGUUGCUGGCUGUUUGCAAGAGGCUUUCCUGACUCAUCAACAAAGUAUAUGGUCAACGUUUUAUGUGUUCCCCAAUUUGAAAGGUAAUUGUCAAUGCAACUGGACAUCUGCUGCCUUAAUUUAGUUCUGGUUUUACAUUAACUAUACUUAAGCAUUCUGAAAGUGAUCAAGCAUGUUAAAUGAAUGCAAAAGAAAUUAUUUAAACACAAACAGGGACAUUUACAAAAAUAUUUAACACCUCUGUGGACUAAAAAAACAAUGAAAAUGGAACAUAACAUGUACAGCUAAAACUACAGGCUUACUCUACCGUUAGUCCAGAAGCAGGCCCUAGUAGCUUGGAGUUUUGAUCUUGUACUACAAUAGGGACUAAAUAUUCUACUGGUGAGAUGGUGUAACAAAGUCAGACUCAUUGCUUAAAAUUGGGGCUGCAGUGUUGCAACCCCCACAACUUGUUCUUGAAGAGGGUCAAGCUUUAUAAGAAGCUCCAGACCCAGGUGAGAGGUGAAGCCAGCUGGGCUUCUGGGUCAGGUGGGGACUUGGAGAACUUUUCUGUCUAGCUAGAAGAUUGUAAAUGCACCAGUCAGUGCUCUGUCUAACUAAAGGAUUGUAAAUGCACCAAUGAGCAUUCUGUAAAAAUGCACCAAUCAGCACUCUGUGGCUAAAGGAUUGUAAAUGCACCAAUCACCACUCUGUAAAAAUGCACCAAUCAGCACUCUGUGUCUAGCUAAAGGAUUGUAAACACACCAAUCAGCACUCUGUAAAAUGGACCAAUGAGCUCUCUGUAAAAUGGACCAAUCAGCAGGUUGUGGGUGAGACCAAAUAAGGGAAUAAAAGCUGGCCCCCCAUGCCAGCAGCGGCAACCUGCUCAGGUCCCCUUCCAUGCUGUGGAAGCUUUGUUCUUUUGCUCUUCACAAUAAAUCUUGCUGCUGCUCACUCUUUGGGUCCGCACCAACUUUAAGAGUGGUAACACUUGCCACGAAGGACCGCGGCUUCGUUCUUGAAGUCAGCGAGACCAUGAACCCAUCAGAAGGAAGAAACUCCAGACACAUCUGAACAUCUGACAGAACAAACUCUGGACACACCAUCUUUAAGAGCUGUAACACUCACUGCAAGCGUCUGUGGCUUCAUUCUUGAAGUCAGCGAGACCAAGAACUCACCAGAAGGAAUAAAUUCUGGACACAUUUUGGUGACCCAGAUGGGACUAUCACCAAGCGGAUCAAGGCCAUCAAGCUACAGAUGGUCUUAAAAAUGGAACCCCAAAUGAGCUCAACUAACAACUUCUACCAAGGACCCCUGGACUGACCCGCUGGCCCUUUCACUGGGCUAAAGAGUUCUCCUCUGGAGGAUGCUACAACUGCAGGGCCCCUUCUUCACCCCUAUCCAGCAGGAAGUAGCCAGAGCAGUCAUCGCCCAAUCCCCAACAGCAGUUGGGGUAUCCUGUUGAGAGGGGGGAUUGAGAGGUGAAGCCAGCUGGGCUUCUGGUUUCGGUGGGGACUUGGAGAACUUUUCUGUCUAGCUAGAGGAUUGUAAAUGCACCAAUCAGUGCUCUGUGUCUAGCUAAAGGAUUGUAAACGCACCAAUCAGCACUCUGUAAAAUGGACCAAUCAGCAGGAUGUGGGCAGGGCCAAAUAAGGGAAUAAAAGCUGGCCCCCUGAGCCAGCAGUGGCAACCUGCUCAGGUCCCCUUCCACACUGUGGAAGCUUUGUUCUUUUGCUCUUCACAGUAAAUCUUGCUGCUAGUCACUCUUUGGGUCUGCACCACCUUUAAGAGCUGUAGCACUUGCUGCGAAGGUCCGUGGCUUCAUUCUUGAAGUCAGCAAGACCAUGAACCCACUGGAAGGAAGAAACUCCAGACACAUCUGAACAUCUGAAGGAACAAACUCUGGACACACCACCUUUAAGAGCUGUAACACUCACUGCAAGGGUCCGCGGC